rnacentral:rRNA from 1 species
GACGAAGGGGGCUAGCGUUGUUCGGAAUUACUGGGCGUAAAGCGCGUGUAGGCGGUUGUCCAAGUUGGAUGUGAAAGCCUUGAGCUCAACUCAAGAAAUGCAUUCAGGACUGGAUGACUAGAGGACCGGAGAGGAUAGUGGAAUUCCCAGUGUAGUGGUGAAAUACGUAGAGAUUGGGAAGAACACCAGUGGCGAAGGCGACUCUUUGGCCUGUAACUGACACUGAGGCGCGAAGGCCAGGGGAGCAAAGCGGG